UUGACCUCAAAUCAGGUAGGACUACCCGCUGAACUUAAGCAUAUCAAUAAGCGGAGGAAAAGAAACUAACAAGGAUUCCCCUAGUAACUGCGAGUGAAGCGGGAAAAGCUCAAAUUUAAAAUCUGGUAGUCUUCGGCUGCCCGAGUUGUAAUCUAGAGAAGCAUUAUCUGCGCUGGACCGUGUACAAGUGUCCUGGAAUGGACCAUCAUAGAGGGUGAGAAUCCCGUCUUUGACACGGACUCCCAGGGCUUUGUGAUGUGCUCUCAAAGAGUCGAGUUGUUUGGGAAUGCAGCUCUAAAUGGGUGGUAAAUUCCAUCUAAAGCUAAAUAUUGGCGAGAGACCGAUAGCGAACAAGUACCGUGAGGGAAAGAUGAAAAGAACUUUGGAAAGAGAGUUAAACAGUACGUGAAAUUGCUGAAAGGGAAACGCUUGAAGUCAGUCGCGUUGGCUGGGGAUCAACCUUGCUUUUUUGCUUGGCUUACUUCCCAGUUGACGGGUCAGCAUCAGUUUUGACCGGUGGAUAAAGGCUAGGGGAAUGUGGCACCCUCGGGUGUGUUAUAGCCCUUGGUCAUAUACAUUG
rnacentral:rRNA from 1 species